GACGAACGCUGGCGGCGUGCUUAACACAUGCAAGUCGAACGGAAAGGCCCUGCUUUUGUGGGGUGCUCGAUUGGCGAACGGGUGAGUAACACGUGAGUAACCUGCCCUUGACUUUGGGAUAACUUCAGGAAACUGGGGCUAAUACCCGAUAGGAGCUCCUGCUGCAUGGUGGGCGUUGGAAAGUUUCGGCGGUUGGGGAUGGACUCGCGGCUUAUCCGCUUGUUGGUGGGGUAGUGGCUUACCAAGGCUUUGACGGGUAGCCGGCCUGAGAGGGUGACCGGGCACAUUGGGACUGAGGUACGGCCCAGACGGCUACGGGAGGCAGCGGUGGGGAAUAUUGCACAAUGGGCGGAAGCCUGAUGCAGCAACGCCGCGUGCGGGAUGACGGCCUUCGGGUUGUAAACCGCUGUCGCCUGUGACGAAGCGGGAGUGACGGUAAUGGGUAAAGAAGCACCGGCUAACUACGUG
rnacentral:rRNA from 1 species